rnacentral:rRNA from 1 species
CCUACGGGGCGCAGCAGUCGAGAAUCAUUCACAAUGGGGGAAACCCUGAUGGUGCGACGCCGCGUGGGGGAAUGAAGGUCUUCGGAUUGUAAACCCCUGUCAUGUGGGAGCAAAUUAAAAAGAUAGUACCACAAGAGGAAGAGACGGCUAACUCUGUGCCAGCAGCCGCGGUAAUACAGAGGUCUCAAGCGUUGUUCGGAAUCACUGGGCGUAAAGCGUGCGUAGGCUGUUUCGUAAGUCGUGUGUGAAAGGCGCGGGCUCAACCCGCGGACGGCACAUGAUACUGCGAGACUAGAGUAGUGGAGGGGGAACCGGAAUUCUCGGUGUAGCAGUGAAAUGCGUAGAUAUCGAGAGGAACACUCGUGGCGAAGGCGGGUUCCUGGACAUUAACUGACGCUGAGGCACGAAGGCCAGGGGAGCGAAAGGGAUUAGAUACCCGUGUAGUC